GGAGGAAAAGAAACCAACAGGGAUUGCCCCAGUAACGGCGAGUGAAGCGGCAAGAGCUCAAAUUUGAAAUCUGGCCCCUCCGGGGUCCGAGUUGUAAUUUGCAGAGGAUGCUUCGGGUACGGCCCCGGUCUAAGUCCCCUGGAACGGGGCGUCAUAGAGGGUGAGAAUCCCGUCUGGGAUCGUCGGCCGUGCCCGUGUGAAGCUCCUUCGACGAGUCGAGUUGUUUGGGAAUGCAGCUCUAAAUGGGUGGUAAAUUUCAUCUAAAGCUAAAUACUGGCCGGAGACCGAUAGCGCACAAGUAGAGUGAUCGAAAGAUGAAAAGCACUUUGAAAAGAGAGUUAAACAGCACGUGAAAUUGUUGAAAGGGAAGCGCUUGCGACCAGACUCGCCCGCGGGGUUCAGCCGGGAUUCGUCCCGGUGUACUUCCCCGCGGUCGGGCCAGCGUCGGUUUGGGCGGCCGGUCAAAGGCCCCGGGAAUGUAUCGCCCUCCGGGGCGUCUUAUAGCCCGGGGUGCAAUGCGGCCUGCCCGGACCGAGGAACGCGCUCCGGCACGGACGCUGGCGUAAUGGUCGUAAGCGGCCCGUCUUGAA
rnacentral:rRNA from 1 species